UAAGCAGUNAAGGNAAUAAUUGGUCCAUNAGCCCUAAAGGGGUUGAACCASCAACUUGGAGGAAUGUAUAGCAACAGCUACUUGCAUCAUUGCAAAGGUGAUGUAAGAUCGACUAUGUUGAAUAAAAUUCYAGGUAGAAUUAUGAUAAUGACAUUGUCUGCCUAUGUGUCUUGACCAAAUUACGUGCCAGCAGUCGCGGUAAUACGUAGAAGACUAGUGUUAUUCAUGUUUAAUCGGUUUAAAGGGUACCUAGACGGCAAAUCAAGCUUUCAAAAUAAUAAAAGGACUAAUCUGCUAGAGUUACUUAUGAGGGGGUUAUAAAGUACUGGUGGUGUAGAGAUGAAAUUCUGUCAUACCUCUUUUCGAAAGAAGAAUCAUGGCACAGGUAUAGGCGAAGGCAUCCCCUUAUGUGAUAACUGACGUUGAGGGACGAAGGCUUUGUGUAGCGAACAGGAUUAGAUACCCCAUAGUCAAAGCAGAAAAUGAUGAAUGUCAUAGAUUAGAUAUAUAAGUUUAUUCUAUAAAUGAAAGUGUAAGCAUUCCACCUCAAGAGUAAUUUGGCAACAUUGGAACUGAAAUCAUUAGACCGUUUCUGAAACCAGUAGUGAAGUAUGUUGUUUAAUUUGAUGAUCCGCAAAAAACCUUACCACAACUUGAAUAUUUAUAUUUUUUAUUGUAUUGUUGUUAAUAUUUCUUCUGACUGCUUUGAAAAAUGAAGAUUGAAGAAGAAAAUUAAUAAACAGGCAAUGAGAUAUAUUUACNAGCGUUGCACGGCGUCUUCAGUUAAUGUCGUGAGACUUUGGUUAGUUCCUCAAUNAAAAGUAA
rnacentral:rRNA from 1 species